rnacentral:rRNA from 1 species
UACGUAGGGGGCAAGCGUUGUCCGGAUUUAUUGGGCGUAAAGAGCGUGUAGGCGGCCAGGUAGGUCCGUUGUGAAAACUCGAGGUUCAACCUCGAGACGCCGAUGGAAACCAUCUGGCUAGAGUCCGGAAGAGGAGAGUGGAAUUCCCGGUGUAGCGGUGAAAUGCGCAGAUAUCGGGAAGAACACCCGUGGCUAAGGCGGCUCUCUAGUACGGUACUGACGCUGAGACGCGAAAGCGUGGGGAGCGAACAGG